AGUGUCGUUGUGGCCGCUUUCCUCUUGGCAAGGCUACACGCGGGUCCGCCUCCCAGGGACAUCUCAGUCCGGUAUCCGCUGUACCCCUGUUCCCGAAGGAUGGCCAUAAAACCCGCCGUACCUGGUUUGACACAAGGAGUGAUCGUUUUUUCACAUCAACGGUGAUUUUUUUUCUCUUUUGUGAAUACAGCGGAUUAUUUCACACAACGUUGACAGGAUGUGUUAUUACGCGCGGAGGAAUAUUUUUUUUUAACACUAUACAAGAGGAGGACCGAUCGUGUUUCGCGAAACUGAAAAUACGGUGUGUGUUUGGCUGCGGAGACCUGUGUCUGUGAGGGUGUUGCCAGUGACUGAGCAAGGAUCAGCUCCUGUGUUCAGGUGGCUUUGUCUGAGUGGGAGGAGUCAGGGUUCAAAGGUUGUGGCUCUGGGGACCCAAGGGCUGGAUCUCCAUAUGAGGCCCUGCUGAGAGGGCUGGAGACCUACUAAGGUUUUGGGGUCACACACGCUUCUCUUCCCGGUGCAGUGAUGGCCACAUCUGUAUCAUGACCCUGAUGGACAUGAGUGCCCAAGGGCUGUGAGAGCCCCUUGGGGAAACCUCAGGCACAAACACACUCUCUUCCUCAUACAGAAGCACUCUCUCUCUCUCUCUCUCUCU